ensembl:lncRNA
AUAUGAACUCCGCUCAUCCUCCUUCCAGAAACACUCAGCACAACUGACGGUGCUUAUUUGGGCGAUGCUGAUGUUAGAUAUGUUCCUGUCUGAAGGCCUGACCUUGUUCUGGUUCAUUGGGAGAAACAGGAUUUCAUCAGGACAGCAGCUCCAGGACCCUCCAGGGGGUUUCUUAUACAGAUUCAAGACAGAAGUAAGCCAGUAAAUCAGAAGUAAGCCAGUCAGAAGUAUCAGAUCUCCCAGCACAACGUCCUAUCCUCAAACCACUGCAUGAAGCUGCAGUCUACUUUGCAAAGUCUCUGGUAACUGUUUGUAUACCUCUGUGUAGCUCAGUGCAUCCUCAGGAAAAUAAAAGGUGGCAAAAUCAGUCAUAAUAUGGCAACUCUACCUUUUUCCAGUUGCCAGACCAUCAUGUUUGCGUGCAACAACACCAUUAGUUUGCAAGCCAUCCAAAUCAUCUUAUGUUUUGCAAAGCAAAAUUACUUCUGGCUCAGCAAUUGUUUUUUCCUUUUAUGUCAAAAAAUUACUCCCCUCUUCAGUUUCUGCUCCAAGUAUGUGCCAUCAGGCUUUUCUCUCUGCUGUCAGGGGUGAAAAGAUCCAUCAUUUUCUCUCACCUGGUUGAAUAGGGUCUGUGACAAAUUAGAACCAGACUACAGAGCAUGAAAAAAGGAGAUUAUUUCCCUGUUGUUUGGGCCUGACAAGUACUCUUGCAGAUCAAAUAGAAGCACCAGAUGUUUUCUACUACCAGAGCUACAGAAUGCACAGGACCUGAGAGAAGCAAGAGGGUCCCAUUUCCUCUGCAUAAACUACAGUGUGUUAGAAGAUCAAAGUCAAGGGAGGGGAGCCAGGCUGAAAAAGCUCCCUGUCUGUGGCUAGAACUGAAGGAGAUUUUGGUAUCUACAAGUGAAGCUGUGUUUAAUGAGGAAGGGGAGGGAAAUGCGCUCCAAAUUUCGAUGCUUGGAGAAAAGCCAUACUUUAAAAAGAACAUCUUCCUUUGGAAUGCACUCAGGUGGUUUGACCAGCUGGCCUGGUGGACACUGACCACAGUGGACACUGACUGCAGUAGAACUAGUUGCCCUCUGCUUCCCCUAGAUGAAUGUUUCUGAUUAAGAAAAGUCUUCAACUGAAGAUCCUGAUUGACCUGACGUAAAUAGCACAGUAAAGAGAAUAGCAUCAGUACAAAGCUCCAAACCCACAGCACAUCCCAUUUCAGAGCCAGGGCAGCGAAUGGGCUGCUAGCCUGUCUCUGGGAGAAUGCUCUGUGGUGUUAAACUGAAUUUUGUUCUUUCCACAGAAACAUCCCUUUGCUACAGAAAUGUGCUAUUCUGGUACAACAAACUAUCUACCAUAUGUUAGGAUUUUGCUUUUCCCACCAUAUUAUGUUUUCACCAUCAACCUAUCCAACCAUCCACUGAUCCCAGCCGUCAUUUCUUAGGAGGAUCUUAAAAGGUUUAAAGAAUAACCACAAGGUCUUUAUAAAGAGGAGACUGUUUCUUUAUGCAGAAAUAAGGCAGCAAGGUGCCUGAAAUGACCUCGUUCUGUGACUGGAAAUUGCUGCAGCGAUUGCUAGGAGGAAAGGUCAGUCAUGCCUCCCAAAAAAUCCAGCCUUACUAAAAUGGGUAUAGAAGGGUUAAAGAAGCCUGGUCAUUUGCCAGGUGUUGGCUUCGAUUUUAGAGUAUUUACUACAGAAAAGCCCUUAUAAUGUAGAUUUUAUCAGCCAGAUGCCAUGAUAUAACCCAAAUCCAGGAACUUAUGCGUGACUCCUUAGUUUCCUGCCAGCUUGGUCUUAUUAAUUGCACUGCAUCAAUUGUAUUAUAUAUUCCAAUGAGGAACAAAUCUACCAGUAUGGCUUUCUACAGAAUGCAGUACUGCGGUACAUGAAAACUGCACUCCAAUCUAUUUUCUAGUUUUAUUGCCACCAUAAAAGGGAAACUCCCUUCAUCUCAGCUGUCUUCACUAACUGUGAAAGAGGAACAAUUCUGCUGAACUAAUCUGUAAAGUGCUUUGAGCUGACCAGACUAAAUGUGGUCACCACACAUUAAAACAGCUCCUAGUGCCUACUCUAGUAUUUAUCUCCAUCCUAAAUCCUCACAGGUGAGCUCAAUGAAAGCUGCAGCUGCUCAGUCCUUUUCAGUCACAUCAGAACUGAUGACUGAGCCCUGACCUGCUGCACUACAACCACUGAUCUGUCAGUCCUCACAGCUCCCAAAAAGUACACACGUGCUCCAUUACACAACAGAAGGCACAGACACACGAGAACGAUGUUUAGAAACAGGAAACAGUAAUUAUACCUGAUAUUCCUGAGUAGAACUGUGUUACACUGUACUUGGCACAAGAAGCACAUUUUCUAUCCCUUCAAAGAUGGUAACAGAGUAAAUGCACUAAGCACCACUGUUCAGAGCAGGGUGACCCACUGCAUGCACAAACAGACUGAGUAAUGCCUGGUCUGUUUUUCUUUUUUUCCUUCUCUGCAAAUGUCAGGGCUUGGUCAUGCCAGCAUGCACUGCAGUCAUGACUUCAGACAAUGCAAAUGCACAGUAUGCACUUCAGAUCGGGCCAGUGGGAAAUGCCAGCUUGUUAGUUGCAAAGACCCAAAAGAAUGAAGGAAAAGAGGCAAACUGUGUUACCAUCUUUCGAAGCAGGAGAAAUCCGAGGAGCGUGGCAGCAAAUAUAAAGCUAACAAGUGGAAAAAUACAAUUCGAGUAAAUUAACCUGUGGAAGACAAAGCCAGAAUACAUUAGAGGUCGUUAAGGUAAUCAUAUUGCAGCUGUAGCUAUGUUAAUUCUAUUUAGGAAAAACAAAUAGUAUGAGACAGCCCUCAACUCUCAAUUGAAAAGAAACUUAUCUGAACAAACUCAAUAGCUGUUUGAUAUGGCACUUCAGGGCUGCCUCUCUUUCCAUUGAGCCCAUGAUAACGUAUGGGGAUACUCUGAAGGGAUAUUUGCUUGAAGAGCCUUCUGGUCUCUCCCAGUAGGCACUCUUGAAGUAUCUUUUAUUUUAUAUUCUUCACAAUACAUCUGAGAAUGCCUGUAGCAAAAGAACAGAAAGAACUGAUUACUAGGAUAUAUACAGAGGAAAGGAAAUAAGAAAUGAAUAGUUUACCAAGGCAUCUUUUGGUGAAGAAUUCUUUCAAAAUAUGAAUUAAACCAUCUCACACCUAUCCAGCAUGCAAACUGUAUACACAGCUAAAGGGAAAAAAAGAGAAGAUAUUUGUGAACUGAGCUUAAAAUGUCACGGAAACAGAUGUCCUCCUAACAGACUGAGAAUUCAUUUCCUUGUACAUAAGCAAGUGUGGCAGAGAAACCCACCCACUUCCAUUUGUACCUAUGAUAUUUAAGCAGACCACAAACAUUGACCAAAAUCUGAAAUACGUAACAAAUGAUUACAUCUAGCUGUUCUCUUCACAACUUGGCUUAUUUUAAGAUAUUAUUAUACUUUGUGGCAUCAAGGUCAUAAUACAAAGCCAUGACCAUAAUGCAAUUUGAGACCAAAUUGCCCUGAGAAGACAUACUGCUAUGACCUUUAGGUCCUAACAGUCAGGGACUUAAGUCUGACCAUUUCUGCAUUUACAACGUUCUGCUCAUGCAGAUGACAUUUCACAGCAUGAAAUCAGUUGACAUCACUGAUCUGAGAGCUGUAAUGCAGGGCUACAUCCUGCCAUUGCUUCCAUAGAACAGAAAAGGACAUUAGAUGAUAACGCCUGUAAACAGAUAGCACUUCAAACUUGCAGGUCAGUUUGAUUCUCUUUAUCCCCUUCCAUCCAAAAAAUAACACAUCAGUGUGUUUAAAGGUCAAGUUUGUGUGUCUGGUGGGUCUAGAAAUACAUACUCAGGUCAGCUUGGGCAGGAGUUGAAAAGAAAUUAUAACCUUGUUGGAUUCAUUCCAUCAUUGCUGCCUCAUCUGUAUUGCUUUGAGAGGUGUGGAAUGCACAAAAACACCUGUAAAUCAAACACAGGAGAAUAAAACACAUCUCCCACAGCAAUGUGGGCUGUAAGGAGGCAAGUGUCAUCCUCAACACAGAACAGGACUAAUUUUGGCAUUUGUUUGCAGCUGUGGCUGUAGUCUGACAAAGCCAUGGGCUUAGCUAGGAUGUGCUGUCACCCAGCUGCACAAGAAGCCAGUCUCUGAUCUCUGCAGCAGAAGAUUAGUUGCACACAUUUUCCACUUCUAACACCUUCUGGCCUACAGCAGACUAUGAUUAUACCAACAGAAAAGAUGCUCUUAUCAUCAACUGCAGUGAAGUUGCACCCAAGCACAGAGCUCUGGGAAGCAUCAGCUUCCCAGUUUGCCAAUUUCAACAGGGAAUGGAAGCCUCAAUUUAGCAGAAGUCAUAACUGCAGGUUUAAAUUCAACUGUGGGAACAAUUGCUGUGAAAUUAAUUAGAUCACCAAGUGUGCAUAGUUGUAACGUGGCUUGCAGGUGCGCAGCACCCUUCCAGGAUCAGCCCUUUCCAAUGCAUUACCUUGUUUUAAAGCAGCAGAACACAGAUGCAAUGGAAUGCCAGUAGAGACAGCACUAAGAUUUGAGCUUGUAAAUCCCUUAUUUCCUCACAGAAGUUCAACUUUCCUGCAGAAUAUGAUUUUCCAGUUACAUUCCUGCCUUUAACACAAAUUUUCCAGCUAUACUGACUGAGCCAUAAGGAAGUGCUUUGCUCAGGGUUACACUGACCGAUACACGGGACAAAGAAAAACUACUUCUGACUGUUGAGAUGUCCUUUGAAUCACUCUGUUAAGUUCCAGUUCAAAUAAACCAUAAUAAAAUCUACAAUGCUGCCUCAAGUGCAUCUAGCAGAUCACUCUCUGUAGCACCUUUACCACCAGGUUAUUUUCAAUAAGUAACAAUAUUUCCACCCUGAGAUGAGCUUUACUAAGCACAGCUCUGUGUGUUACAAUGAAACAAGAGAUGUUCACCCAGGGCAUUUUGCUGCAUUCUACUUGCACUGUGUUAAACCUUCACACACACUGACAGUUCAUCCCAGUAAGUGGCUGACUGAUAGCUGUGCAAACACACCAGCUCAUGCAGCCACUGAAUUUCACAACAAAGAUUAACAGAGCAGCUCUGUCCCUCUGUCUCUGGCUCUGAAGUAACUCAGUGUUGGUGACAUUUGUAUGACCGUAUCACCCGUCCACAGCAGAGGAACCUCUGAAAGGCAGAGAAAGUCAAACCCAGCGCACAGCCAGUCUAAAGACAGUAUGUAAGGUUUUCUGCCCUUUCAGCACCUUUAUCAGCCGGUGGCAGCAUGCAGUUCAGGUGGUUGUUAACUGGGAACUCACUGAUCUGACAAAGAGAGCCUCUGAAAUGCAGUAUAGUCACAGUAGACUCAUGGCACACAAUUUAUAUAGCACUAUCUGCUUGGGAAGCAGCUCACCCUAGUAAGAAUCCUCCCAUAGUGCUGCAGUAAACAGCACUUUACAUCUGAACUGAUCAUCUGUUUGACUUUAUAGGAACAAACAUACAAGGCACCAUACAUAAGUCCUGCAUGUACAAACAUGUAAUGCUUGCAUGUAGCUGUUUAUUAAUAUGCAUAAAACCUGCACAAAUAUAAUUGUGUGAGUCACAUAAGGAAGAAUUCAGUAGAUAUAAUGGACAAAGGCCACGUUGUAGGUCAAAACUCUCCCCUCUUGGAGAAGACGUCACACUUUCCUGUUUCAGUUUUGCCAUCUAUAUAUUGGCAAUAUCAGGUUGUUUUGGGGUUUGUUUCCAGCAAGUGUGUUGCCUGGAUAAAUGAAGUUUUCAGCUAUUCAGUUAAAGAUUCUAUCAAAAUAUUAACAGUAAGUCAAGUUUAAAGCUAAAUCUGAGAGUAAGCUUGGAAACUAUCACUUAAAAAUAUAUAUCUAGGAAACUGCCCUGUUCUCAGCUGAUUUCUGUACUGUACAAGUACUGAAUUCAGGAACUAUUUUAAGAGAAUGAUCAAGAAAGGAAAGCAGUAACAGCGUAGGAAUCAGCCUCUGUUCUCAGCUUUGGUGGCAGCCUCAUAGUUGAAAGCAAUACUUACAUGAAAUGCUUAGCAGCCUGGAAAUAUCUGGGACGAAUGAUGUUUAGGGAAGUGACAGUUGCCAAAGCUCAGUGAGCAUGCACUGAAUGUAACACUAUGCAUUGUUACUAACUCAUAUGGGAAAGAACAUUGUAUUCAAUGUCCCAUCUCUUCAUCUAUAUGGCUGUCUCCCAAAUGAGAGCACAGGAAUGGUCACCAAGAGGUCAAAUCCUUUCCUGUAUGGUUAAUAUUUUCAUAGAAUGUCUGUUUAAUCUGAACAACACAAAGUUGAGAGGAGCUGCAAGAAAAGUAGAGAAGCAAAGCAAAAGCAAAAUGUUUUUGAUAAACUGUAGCAGAUGAAAACAAACAAACAAAGGAGAAGCGAUUCAGUUAGGAGAAGUGGAUACAGAACUCUACAUUCAUCUGGACAAGUAUAAAAAAGAGAAAAAGGGGAACACCAGGCAAAUAUCAGCUGGUUAUCACAAAGAAAACCGACGCUCUGACAAAGAAAACAUACGCUCUGAACUGAAAUGAUUCACCACUUAUUUUUUUGCUCAAACCAAGAUAUUUCAGUUAGUCUGUUAUGGACUGUUUGAAACAAGGCAGCACACAAUGAGCUGUGCCUCUGUGUGAGCUACAGACUGCACAUUCAUACUGGGUGCAGUAUCUAGACUAAAGCCUGGGGUUGUUUCCUCUCCCCUCCCUGCACUGGAGGGAGGAGGCAUCAGCAACCACAGCAAUAAAAGCAGCAGCCACCCCAGCUGCCAGUGCUUUCCCCCCCUUCAUGGCUCCAGGAGUAUGGCUUAUAUUUUAUUCAUGAAAAAUGAGGCCUCUGGGGGUCUAGGGAAGGAAAAAAAAAAAAACACCCAACAGGAAGUAAAUAUUUCUUGGGGGCACUUGCUUGCAAUCUGGCAAGUGUCCAAGGCAUCGUGAAUGAGAAGCAGGGGUGGAGGAGGGAAGCCUGAAGCCUCCAUUCCUGACAGCCCUCCUCUGAUGGGAGGAAGGAGGACCACAAAGAGUGAGCUGCACCCUGAAGGUCACUGUGGUGACCCAGUACAGCAGGGAAUGAAGUGGGUCCUGCAGUGAGGUGACCCCAGCCAAGGCUGCAGGGAGUCCCUGUAUCACAAGGGGCAUGCACACUGCAAGGUGCAUGGCUGUGUGACACGAUGGGGGUCCUCCACAGACUGGUUUAGAGGCUGCUAUCUACCCAGCUCUUACAGCAUAAGCUAUUGCUCUGACUUCUAGUAAUCUCUCCCCACUUUGGCACACACUUCUCAUGUCCCAAAACUACAUCACUCCAAAAGCUGUUUUGUACAAGCUUUCAGAAUAAGAGCACAUCUGAGCUCGCUGGGAAAAGAUUUAUUAUCAUCCUCACUAGUGAGGCAGUCACCUCAUUCCCUUUCAUCCCCAGUAAAAAGGGCUACAGUUAAUAUCAGUAAACAAUCUCCUACAAUCCUUCAUUUUCCUGAGAAGAAAGACAUGAAUCCGAUGUCAUCUGCCUACCUACCACUAAUCAGAGACAGUGUCAUGUGAACUCUAACUGCAGAGGCACAGCCAUCAUCCCCCCUCACAAUUCAAUCCUAACACUGACACAGGACCGCCUGUUCCUAAUUUCAUAAGCCUUACCAUCAGGGAUGACUGUCUCUGAACUAAUUAUUUUGCACAGGACACUGAAGCUCUUUCUGAGAAGCCUGGACUUCUUGCAGAUCUCUGGAAUCUGCAUGGAAAGAAGGAAGCAGUCUAUUACUUUCUGACAGACUUUCUUAAAAAGAACACCUGCAAGAAAAGGUUUAUAUCUAGGAAAUUAUAAAAGAAUGUGGUAUUUUACAUUAACAUCCAUUUUUCAUUGUCUUAAUUACCAUUUAACAAACAUUAGCCCUCAGAAUAUCUCCCCUACAGGGUUCAGUAAAUGAGAAACAAGCCAUAGUGGUUCAGUCAGUAUGAAGGGAAGGGAAAAACAAG